rnacentral:rRNA from 1 species
CCUACGGGAGGCAGCAGUGGGGAAUUUUGGACAAUGGGCGCAAGCCUGAUCCAGCAAUGCCGCGUGAGUGAAGAAGGCCUUCGGGUUGUAAAGCUCUUUUGUCAGGGAAGAAACGGCUGAGGUUAAUACCUUUGGCUAAUGACGGUACCUGAAGAAUAAGCACCGGCUAACUACGUGCCAGCAGCCGCGGUAAUACGUAGGGUGCAAGCGUUAAUCGGAAUUACUGGGCGUAAAGCGUGCGCAGGCGGUUUUGUAAGUCUGACGUGAAAUCCCCGGGCUCAACCUGGGAAUUGCGUUGGAGACUGCAAGGCUGGAGUCUGGCAGAGGGGGGUAGAAUUCCACGUGUAGCAGUGAAAUGCGUAGAGAUGUGGAGGAACACCGAUGGCGAAGGCAGCCCCCUGGGUCAAGACUGACGCUCAUGCACGAAAGCGUGGGGAGCAAACAGGAUUAGAUACCCUGGUAGUCCACGCCCUAAACGAUGUCUACUAGUUGUCGGGUCUUAAUUGACUUGGUAACGCAGCUAACGCGUGAAGUAGACCGCCUGGGGAGUACGGUCGCAAGAUUAAAACUAAAUGAAUUGACGG